GAUGAAGAACGCAGCGAAAUGCGAUAAGUAAUGUGAAUUGCAGAAUUCAGUGAAUCAUCGAAUCUUUGAACGCACAUUGCGCCCGCCAGUAUUCUGGCGGGCAUGCCUGUUCGAGCGUCAUUUCAACCAUCAAGCCCCCGGCUUGUGUUGGGGACCUGCGGCUGCCGCAGGCCCUGAAAAGCAGUGGCGGGCUCGCUGUCACACCGAGCGUAGUAGCAUACAUCUCGCUCUGGGCGUGCUGCGGGUUCCGGCCGUUAAACCACCUUCAUAACCCAAGGUCGACCUCGGAUCAGGUAGGAAGACCCGCUGAACUUAAGCAUAUCAAUAAGCGGAGGA
rnacentral:misc_RNA from 1 species